UGGUGAUGUCGGGGAGAGGGGACAUGGAGAAGGGCUGGCCACCGGCAUGCCAUGGGCAAGGUGCCCUGGGCUGGACCGGACUCUGCUGGAAAGAUGUCUUCAGCCUAAGUUCCUUGUUCCUAGUGCCCUUGUGUGCAGAGCCUCGCUGAGCAUGGAGGAGGCAUAUGUGUGCCCGUGUGUGCAGACAGGGAGGACACCUCAACCUGAGGAGAGUUGCAGGACCACAGACACAGCUGGACAGAGCCUUGGACAUUAGUGCUGGAAGAAUCUCAAGUGCCUGAGGAUCAGGAGAAAGCCUGGCCUGUGGUGGUCAGCAGGGACAGGAAACUCAUCCUGACCCUGAAGACCCCACCGCGGGAUCUGUGACCCAGCACUUGCACUCCUGGGUGUAUAACCAACAGAAACACAUCCAUAUGCUCACCGAUGCCUGGACAAAACCACCAUGGCCGCGCUAUCCAUAAUGCCCCCACACUGGGAAGCGUCAGGCUCCCAUCAGCGGUAGAAUGGAUGGACCAUGCUGCGUUCUCCCAAAGCAAAUACAUGCGGCAGGAUCAGGGACUGCCAGCCCAACAGGAAGCAGGCCUGAAGAGACCAGAGGACUUGUCCAAAGGCACUCAGCAAGUUGGCGGCCGUGACAGAAUUUUAGCCCAGGGUCUCCUGACUUCAACUCCACCAAACAGAGAGCAGACCUACAGCUACAGCCGCUGUGGCUUGUAGGUGGAGAACUCUUAAUAUCAUAUGGGUGCGGAGCACAGCUGUCCUGCCAGGGAGCACACACUCCAUAAACGUCUGUCAGGUGAAUAAAUGAAU